rnacentral:tRNA from 1 species
CGGGAGAUGUCAGAGUGGUCGAAUGUGCCGGUCUUGAAAACCGGUGAGGGUUAUACCUCCGGGAGUUCGAAUCUCCCUCUCCCGG